UCCGGUUUAUCACCGGCGGUUCCCUUAGAGUUCCCGGCUUGACCCGCUGGCAACUAAGGGUAAGGGUUGCGCUCGUUACGGGACUUAACCCAACAUCUCACGACACGAGCUGACGACAGCCAUGCAGCACCUCUCCAGGCGCCCCGAAGGGAGAGCUGCUUUCGCAGCCUGUCACCUGAAGUUCAAACCCAGGUAAGGUUCUUCGCGUUGCGUCGAAUUAAACCACAUGCUCCACCGCUUGUGCGGGCCCCCGUCAAUUCCUUUGAGUUUCAUUCUUGCGAACGUACUCCCCAGGUGGGGUGCUUAAAGCGUUAGCUACGGCACUGGAGGGGUCGAUACCUCCAACACCUAGCACCCAUCGUUUACAGCGUGGACUAC
rnacentral:misc_RNA from 1 species